AGAUGUGAAGGUGAUCUUGUUGUAACAUCUCAUUGCCAGGGUUGAUUCAGCUGGUCUGGCUGGCAAGGCAGAUGUCCCAUUCCUCCCUUAAUGUUCCAGUGUGUCUUUCCUGAAGCUGCACACUGGAAGAGGAGACCUUUCCCUAAAAACUGACCAGUCUUUGGUAGAGGGCAUAUGUACCUAUACUCCCUGCUAGGACCUCCAAACAAGCUGUCCAAAGGGAAAAGAAAGAGAAGGGGAAAAAAGGGAGAUCAAGAAUAGACAGUUAUGCAAAUCUACCAUCCACU
rnacentral:snRNA from 1 species